rnacentral:rRNA from 1 species
UACGGGGGGGAGCAAGCGUUGUUCGGAUUUACUGGGCGUAAAGCGUGCGCAGGCGGCUUUGCAAGACAGAUGUGAAAUCCCCGGGCUCAACCUGGGAACUGCAUUUGUGACUGCAUGGCUAGAGUGCGGCAGAGGGGGAUGGAAUUCCGCGUGUGGCAGUGAAAUGCGUAGAUAUGCGGAGGAACACCGAUGGCGAAGGCAAUCCCCUGGACCUGUACUGACGCUCAUGCACGAAAGCGUGGGGAGCAAACAGG